rnacentral:rRNA from 1 species
ACCACGGGGGGAUGCUUAGUACGGCGAGUGAAGCGGCAAAAGCUCAAAUUUGAAAUCUGGUACCUUCGGUGCCCGAGUUGUAAUUUGGAGAGGGCAACUUUGGGGCCGUUCCUUGUCUAUGUUCCUUGGAACAGGACGUCAUAGAGGGUGAGAAUCCCGUGUGGCGAGGAGUGCGGUUCUUUGUAAAGUGCCUUCGAAGAGUCGAGUUGUUUGGGAAUGCAGCUCUAAGUGGGUGGUAAAUUCCAUCUAAAGCUAAAUAUUGGCGAGAGACCGAUAGCGAACAAGUACAGUGAUGGAAAGAUGAAAAGAACUUUGAAAAGAGAGUGAAAAAGUACGUGAAAUUGUUGAAAGGGAAGGGCAUUUGAUCAGACAUGGUGUUUUGUGCCCUCUGCUCCUUGUGGGUAGGGGAAUCUCGCAUUUCACUGGGCCAGCAUCAGUUUUGGUGGCAGGAUAAAUCCAUAGGAAUGUAGCUUGCCUCGGUAAGUAUUAUAGCCUGUGGGAAUACUGCCAGCUGGGACUGAGGACUGCGACGUAAGUCAAGGAUGCUGGCAUAAUGGUUAUAUGCCGCCCGUCUUGAACCCACGGACCA